CAGCUGGUGGUCUAAAUACUGC
rnacentral:siRNA from 1 species